GAAUUUCCCUGCACAAGCUCUCUCUCUUGGCCUGCUGCCAUCCAUGGAAGAUGUGACUUGCUUCACCUUGCCUUCCACCAUGAUUGUGACCCCUCCCCAGCCAAGUGGAACUGUGCAUCUAUCAAACCUCUUUCUUUUGUAAAUUGCCCAGUCUCAGGUAGCCCUGUCUCCAGAAUGACGGGAAGGUCCCUGUUUGGGAGGAAAAACCUCAGAGGAAGUGGAAGGUAUGCAGAGCCUGUGAUGGAGGAGCCAGAGAGAUCCAGGAGAAGCUGGAAGCAGCAGAGUGGCAGGAGACCAGUGACUGUGAGGGUGGAUGUACUUCCAGGAAUUCUUGGCAAUUUGGAAAGGGGUUAGAAUUCCUCUGGCUGCAGAGCAUGUUCUUUUCUUUGAUUAUUUAAGUAAAGGGUAAUUCUGGAAGGUUGGAAAAUGUAGGACACCCACUACGUAAAAAUCAGGAAGGUACUAACCUAUAGCUUCAAGCAAGACUCAUCAGGACUAUGAGCCUCACCACCACUACCAUCAUGGUUAUUACCACCAUCUCCUACCACAGGGCAAAGCUGAGUGACCCUGGUAGGCAGAAUAAUGGCCCCCCAAAGACGCCCAAGUCCUAAUCCUCAAAACCUGAAAAUAUGUUACAGUACAUAGCAAAGGGGAAUUAAGGUUGCCAAUCCCUUGACCUUAAAAUAGAAAGGGCACCCUAGAUUAUGCAGGUAGGCCCAAUGUAAUCAUAUAGAUCUAUAGAAAGUAAAAAGUUUCCUCUUCAAAGUUUCCCUUCUUGUUAAAAAAUAAAUCAUAAGUGUUAGAAAUAAUAGUUUCUUUUAAAGACUUUCUUCAAACCUCUUUGAUCUGUGCUAAUAACUCUUUGUUAAGCCCUAUCCCAUAUAGCUGUUGGACAUGCUCACAGGCACGUUCCAGCUCACAGCCUAUGCCCCUUCCUUAUUUGGAAAUGUUAUUGCUUCUUUAAAUCUUUUGUAAGCAACUUCCUCCUUUCCUUUGUUCUCCCUUGCCUUCACCUAUUUAAGAAAGUUUUAGCUUGUUAGCAAAUCGGGUAUCAGUUUAGACUAUGAGGUUUGGCUCCAGCUAGUGGAUGCAGGACACAGCAGUAAGAACGACCCAAAUGCGUAAGAGAUAAAUAUGUCUGCUUUUCCUUUGUUCAGUAUACUCUCGUGGCAAGAUGGCUGGCGAGUGUACCCUUUCUGCAGAAAGUAAAAAUUGCCUUGUUGAGAGAAUUAAAUUUAUGUUCAAGUGCUAUUUCUUUAUGGCACCAGGGAACAAGCAUUUUGCAUUCCUAACAGAUCCUUAAAUGUGGAAGAGGGAGGCAAAAGAGUGUUAAAAUAUACCCCCAACAAACAAAGUGGACUCCUUGUGGCUAAAAUGAGACACACCGAAAACAGAAUCUCAUGGCCAGCAGGAUGGAGGAUUAGUCACGAAUCCCAGUGUCGUUAAUGGCCAUAAGGUUUAUUUCCUGUAAUUAAGCAGAAACCACUUCCUGAAAAGCAUUGCCCAAACAACUAUAGCUGGAAAAUUUCCCAAAUGACCCCAAGAUUCUAGCCGACCCAACGCCCCCCUCUUGCCUCCUGCAUACCCAGUCUCCAAUCUCCCCUCCCUCCCCACCACAACUCUGAUUGGACAGAGGACUGGUCUUAUAAACUUUCUUUACUGAUAAAUGGCUGCAGACCUCAAGCCAGUCACAGCCAUUUAGCUUAUAGAGACUGUGCACAAAGUGUCUGUUUACCUUUUGAGAUCAAGAGCCAAAUUCUACCUCAUUUUAAUUCCUGAAACCCCAUCCCAAAGUGAAUGGAAUGUAUGUUAUAGACAUUUACCCACUGUGCACGUGCCAGCCAUCCCUCAUGAAUAUUCAUAGAAUGUCCCCAACCCUGCUCAAUACGCAUGUAAGUCUUGCCCUAUAAGACACAUAUACCAGCUCCCCCUUCCUUCUGUAGGGCGUGUACUUUCGGUUGUCCCUGGAAGCUAUGUUCCUCAAUCCACGAUUGCUUCUCCCUCUGAAAAUAAAGUCUUCUCCUUUCC
rnacentral:lncRNA from 10 species